CAAUUAGUGGAGGUGGAACAAAGUAAGAGAACACAAGCAGAUGAGAGUAACCCAAAUAAGGAGAAAGAUAAAAAAAGAGGUGGAGAUCAAGAGAAGGAAUGGCUUAAUCGAGGAGGAGAACACUCCAACAUUCCAUAUUCGGGGAGAUUGAAGCAACAAUAAAAGGAAAAACAAUUUGGUAAGUUUUUGGAUAUUUUUAAACAAUUGCACAUUAACAUUCCUUUGGUUGAAGCUUUAAAACAUAUGCCUAGCUAUGCAAAGUUCGUAAAGGAGAUCUCUCAAACAAGAAGAAGUUAAAAGACUAGCCAUAGUGAUGCUUAAC
rnacentral:lncRNA from 1 species